rnacentral:rRNA from 1 species
CGUAAUAAUAGAAACUAACCAGGAUUCCCUUAGUAACGGCGAGUGAACUGGGAUGCCAAUAUAAAAUAUGCACCUCGCGUGCAUAAAUUAGCCCGUCGAUACUAUCCUAGCGUAUGUACCGGUCUUCGGGUCGGUACUCAAAUACGCGGGAAUUGUAGCAUCGUAAUAAAAAAAAAUAUACAGCACGCACACACACACUGCCAACAUGCGUACCACUUGUAAACACACAGCGUCUCCGCGUUGGAAAGCAAGUUUAUAUCCUCUUUGGAUAAGCCAUAGAGUGUGACAGACCACGUUUCGCCCUAAUAUAAGUACGCACACACACAUACACACACGGCUCGUGCGAGUGCAAUACGUAUAUAUUCUAUAACCUGAGUCGAGUUAUUU